UACAGAGGUCUCAAGCGUUGUUCGGAUUCAUUGGGCGUAAAGGGUGCGUAGGCGGCGCGGUAAGUCGGGUGUGAAAUCUCGGAGCUUAACUCCGAAACUGCAUUCGAUACUGCCGUGCUUGAGGACUGGAGAGGAGACUGGAAUUCCGGGUGUAGCGGUGGAAUGCGUAGAGAUCCGGAAGAACACCGGUGGCGAAGGCGGCAUCCUGGACCAACACUGACACUGAAAAGCGAAAGCCAGGGGAGCAAACGGG
rnacentral:rRNA from 1 species